AUUGAACGCUGGCGGCAGGCUUAACACAUGCAAGUCGAGCGAGCGGCGGACGGGUGAGUAAUGUCUGGGAAACUGCCUGAUGGAGGGGGAUAACUACUGGAAACGGUAGCUAAUACCGCAUACCCUCAGAUGUGCCCAGCUGGGAUUAGCUAGUAGGUGGGGUAAUGGCUCACCUGGGCGACGAUCCCUAGCUGGUCUGAGAGGAUGACCAGCCACACGGGAACGGGGACACGGUCCAGACUCCUACGGGAGGCAGCAGUGGGGAAUAUUGCACAAGGGGCGCAAGCCUGAUGCAGCCAUGCCGCGGGGGUGAGGAAGUCCUUCGGGUGGUAAAGCACGUUCAGCGAGGAGGCGGUACUCGCAGAAGAAGCACCGGCUAACUCCGUGCCAGCAGCCGCGGUAAUUC
rnacentral:rRNA from 1 species